UACGUAGGGUGCAAGCGUUAAUCGGAAUUACUGGGCGUAAAGCGUGCGCAGGCGGUAAUGUAAGACAGUUGUGAAAUCCCCGGGCUUAACCUGGGAAUGGCGAUGGUGACUGCAAGGCUAGAGUUUGGCAGAGGGGGGUAGAAUUCCACGUGUAGCAGUGAAAUGCGUAGAUAUGUGGAGGAACACCGAUGGCGAAGGCAGCCCCCUGGGUCAAAACUGACGCUCAUGCACGAAAGCGUGGGGAGCAAACAGG
rnacentral:rRNA from 1 species